rnacentral:rRNA from 1 species
UACGGAGGGAGCUAGCGUUGUUCGGAAUUACUGGGCGUAAAGCGCGCGUAGGCGGCUUUGUAAGUUAGAGGUGAAAGCCCGGGGCUCAACCCCGGAAUUGCCUUUAAGACUGCAUCGCUUGAACGUCGGAGAGGUGAGUGGAAUUCCGAGUGUAGAGGUGAAAUUCGUAGAUAUUCGGAAGAACACCAGUGGCGAAGGCGGCUCACUGGACGACUGUUGACGCUGAGGUACGAAAGCGUGGGGAGCAAACAGG